UAAAUUAUAGUUUAAUAAAAACUUUUUUUUUACAUAAAAAAAUUAUAUAAAUUUAUAUUAAUUUAA
rnacentral:tRNA from 1 species